CUUGGUCAUUUAGAGGAAGUACAAGUCGUAACAAGGUUUCCGUAGGUGAACCUGCGGAAGGAUCAUUAUUGAAUUUUCAAAGGGGUUGUUUGCUGGCUUCAUCUGAAGCAUGUGCACGCCUCGAAUCCACUCUUCACCCCUUGUGCACUCUUGGUAGGAUCGAAGAAAUUCGGUCCUAUGUCAUAUUUUAACGCCAUUGUAUAUGAACAACAUCAUAUUAUUGUAAAAAAUAAUAACUUUACAACUUUCAACAACGGAUCUCUUGGCUCUCGCAUCGAUGAAGAACGCAGCGAAAUGCGAUAAGUAAUGUGAAUUGCAGAAUUCAGUGAAUCAUCGAAUCUUUGAACGCACCUUGCGCUCCUUGGUAUCCAUCCCGAGGAGCAUGCCUGUUUGAGUGUCGUGAAAAUUCUCAAUCUCGUUUAAUCUUUGACGAGUUUGGAUUAUGGAGGUUUGCUGGCGAAAGUUGGCUCCUCUGAAUGUAUUAGUGAAACCCNUNCCAACGGAAAAUGGGGCUUUGGNUUGAUAANUGGCUUUGUCUAUGCCAUUGCUGUUCGCCGUGAUGAUUYCGCUUACAACURUCUCGGACAAAUCUUGACAUCAUUUGMCCUCAAAUCAGGKAGGACUACCCCGCUGAACNUUAAGCAUAUCAAUAAGCGGRGGAAAAGAAACUAACAAGGAUUCCCNUUAGUAACUGCGAGUGAAGCGGGAACAGCUCAAAUGUAAAAUCUGGCGGUCUCUGCCCGUCCGAGUUGUAAUCUAGAGAAGUGCUUUCCGCGUUGGACCGUGUACAAGUCUCUUGGAAUAGAGCAUCAUAGAGGGUGAGAAUCCCGUCUCUGACACGGACUACCAGUGCUUUUGCGAUGCGCUCUCAAAGAGUCGAGUUGUUUGGGAAUGCAGCUCAAAAUGGGUGGUAAAUUCCAUCUAAAGCUAAAUAUUGGCGAGAGACCGAUAGCGAACAAGUACCGUGAGGGAAAGAUGAAAAGAACUUUGGAAAGAGAGUUAAACAGUACGUGAAAUUGUUGAAAGGGAAACGCUUGAAGUCAGUCGCGUCGUCCAGGGAUCAACCUUGCGUUUAUUCGUUGGGUGCACUUCCUGUUCGACGGGUCAGCAUCAAUUCUGACCAUCGGACAAGGGUCGGAGGAAUGUGGCAUCCUCGGAUGUGUUAUAGCCUCUGGUCGCAUGCGAUGGUUGGGAUUGAGGAACUCAGCACGCCGAAAGGCCGGGUCUGUUGACCACGUUCGUGCUUAGGAUGCUGGCAUAAUGGCUUUAAUCGACCCGUCUUGAAACACGGACC
rnacentral:rRNA from 1 species